UCUUGUCUGUCUAUGCAUAGAGUGUUCUUUCUUUUCAGGGUACUAGCAUUCACCAGGGUACUGGUCUUGAGAUCCAAAAAGAGAAUCUACCCAGAUCCUAUCAGGAAAAUCUGCUUUAUAAUUCCCUGAAGCCAUACACAACAGAUGCUCCAUUAUAUAUAACCUGGAUUCUUGAAAUAAAACAUGACUGAAUUCAAAGAACAUUUAGGUAAACCUGGGUGACCUGAUUACACCGUUUUAACGCUCUAACUAAGGUCGAGGGCUGCCCAUGAUUUCAUCAUAAAUUAGGCAAGUAUUUGAGGGAAAUUCUUAAAAAAGAACGGCAUGUCCUCACGUACGGAUCAGCAAGUGAGCAAUGUUCCUGCUGUGCUUUAGAAAGAGGUGCCAGCUCGAUGAGAUGCUGUCGACAUGACAGAAAGCCACCUGCUGCCAAUUUCUACUUCCCAGUAUGAAAACCAGUCUUCUCGAGGAUUAUCGCUGCUGGUAGGAGACAGAAAAUUGCCCCUGCCCUUGCUGACUGUGGUUAACUGGUCGGGGAGCUUCGUAUCCUGGGUCUUGGAAAAUUCAGAGGGGUACAAAGACACAAAAUGACAGGAAGAGGUCGGGACACCCUGUGACAAUGGAGAACACAGCCACGUAUUCUACAUACUCAUCUGGCAUGAGAGCUACCAGUGGAAUUCAUGCCCAGAAAGUUUCAGAGGGACCCUCAAGGGCAGCUUUUUACCAGGUUCCAAGGAUGCUUCAGGCAACUUCCCAACAUCUACAGCAGUAUCAUCUGCAGGUGGCUUCCUGGUGGCUUUCCAGUGAGUCCUACUGAUGCCACAGCCAAUUCCCCGCGCCUGGGUAGCUCAGUCAGUUAAGCGUCUGACUUCAGCUCAGGUCAUGAUCUCACGG